ensembl:lncRNA
UGGCAACCCAAUGUCGUGGGAGGGAACUGAACUCAGAAACCCGUGUACAGAGCAUCAGCAGAGAGCAUGAGGAAAUAAUGCUAAGCGCUUUAAAAGAAGAUUUCUGAAAGAGGACUGAAUGAAUGAAUACGGCCUUUCAAGGCAAACGUUGGCAGUGAAUGAGAAUGAGAUGGAUGCAGGUGCCUUGGGAAUAAAAGAAGAAGGAAAGAGUCAAACCUAGAGCUGAUUUGGUAAACAGGACGCGAGAGUGGUACCAGAAUGAGUAAAUAGGUUGCAUGUACAUACUGAGAGAAGUACAAGAGAUAGAAGUGUGCAAUUGUUUUGUAUAAUCUUCUACAUAUGUGAAAGACGUUCCCG